GGGUUGUGAGGUUAAGCGACUAAGCGUACACGGUGGAUGCCCUGGCAGUCAGAGGCGAUGAAGGACGUGCUAAUCUGCGAUAAGCGUCGGUAAGGUGAUAUGAACCGUUAUAACCGGCGAUUUCCGAAUGGGGAAACCCAGUGUGAUUCGUCACACUAUCAUUAACUGAAUCCAUAGGUUAAUGAGGCGAACCGGGGGAACUGAAACAUCUAAGUACCCCGAGGAAAAGAAAUCAACCGAGAUUCCCCCAGUAGCGGCGAGCGAACGGGGAGCAGCCCAGAGCCUGAAUCAGUGUGUGUGUUAGUGGAAGCGUCUGGAAAGGCGCGCGAUACAGGGUGACAGCCCCGUACACAAAAAUGCACAUGCUGUGAGCUCGAUGAGUAGGGCGGGACACGUGGUAUCCUGUCUGAAUAUGGGGGGACCAUCCUCCAAGGCUAAAUACUCCUGACUGACCGAUAGUGAACCAGUACCGUGAGGGAAAGGCGAAAAGAACCCCGGCGAGGGGAGUGAAAAAGAACCUGAAACCGUGUACGUACAAGCAGUGGGAGCACGCUUAGGCGUGUGACUGCGUACCUUUUGUAUAAUGGGUCAGCGACUUAUAUUCUGUAGCAAGGUUAACCGAAUAGGGGAGCCGAAGGGAAACCGAGUCUUAACUGGGCGUUAAGUUGCAGGGUAUAGACCCGAAACCCGGUGAUCUAGCCAUGGGCAGGUUGAAGGUUGGGUAACACUAACUGGAGGACCGAACCGACUAAUGUUGAAAAAUUAGCGGAUGACUUGUGGCUGGGGGUGAAAGGCCAAUCAAACCGGGAGAUAGCUGGUUCUCCCCGAAAGCUAUUUAGGUAGCGCCUCGUGAAUUCAUCUCCGGGGGUAGAGCACUGUUUCGGCAAGGGGGUCAUCCCGACUUACCAACCCGAUGCAAACUGCGAAUACCGGAGAAUGUUAUCACGGGAGACACACGGCGGGUGCUAACGUCCGUCGUGAAGAGGGAAACAACCCAGACCGCCAGCUAAGGUCCCAAAGUCAUGGUUAAGUGGGAAACGAUGUGGGAAGGCCCAGACAGCCAGGAUGUUGGCUUAGAAGCAGCCAUCAUUUAAAGAAAGCGUAAUAGCUCACUGGUCGAGUCGGCCUGCGCGGAAGAUGUAACGGGGCUAAACCAUGCACCGAAGCUGCGGCAGCGACNNNNNNNNNNNNNNNNNNNNNNNNNNNNNNNNNNNNNNNNNNNNNNNNNNNNNNNNNNNNNNNNNNNNNNNNNNNNNNNNNNNNNNNNNNNNNNNNNNNNNNNNNNNNNNNNNNNNNNNNNAUGCUGGAGGUAUCAGAAGUGCGAAUGCUGACAUAAGUAACGAUAAAGCGGGUGAAAAGCCCGCUCGCCGGAAGACCAAGGGUUCCUGUCCAACGUUAAUCGGGGCAGGGUGAGUCGACCCCUAAGGCGAGGCCGAAAGGCGUAGUCGAUGGGAAACAGGUUAAUAUUCCUGUACUUGGUGUUACUGCGAAGGGGGGACGGAGAAGGCUAUGUUGGCCGGGCGACGGUUGUCCCGGUUUAAGCGUGUAGGCUGGUUUUCCAGGCAAAUCCGGAAAAUCAAGGCUGAGGCGUGAUGACGAGGCACUACGGUGCUGAAGCAACAAAUGCCCUGCUUCCAGGAAAAGCCUCUAAGCAUCAGGUAACAUCAAAUCGUACCCCAAACCGACACAGGUGGUCAGGUAGAGAAUACCAAGGCGCUUGAGAGAACUCGGGUGAAGGAACUAGGCAAAAUGGUGCCGUAACUUCGGGAGAAGGCACGCUGAUAUGUAGGUGAAGUCCCUCGCGGAUGGAGCUGAAAUCAGUCGAAGAUACCAGCUGGCUGCAACUGUUUAUUAAAAACACAGCACUGUGCAAACACGAAAGUGGACGUAUACGGUGUGACGCCUGCCCGGUGCCGGAAGGUUAAUUGAUGGGGUUAGCGCAAGCGAAGCUCUUGAUCGAAGCCCCGGUAAACGGCGGCCGUAACUAUAACGGUCCUAAGGUAGCGAAAUUCCUUGUCGGGUAAGUUCCGACCUGCACGAAUGGCGUAAUGAUGGCCAGGCUGUCUCCACCCGAGACUCAGUGAAAUUGAACUCGCUGUGAAGAUGCAGUGUACCCGCGGCAAGACGGAAAGACCCCGUGAACCUUUACUAUAGCUUGACACUGAACAUUGAGCCUUGAUGUGUAGGAUAGGUGGGAGGCUUUGAAGUGUGGACGCCAGUCUGCAUGGAGCCGACCUUGAAAUACCACCCUUUAAUGUUUGAUGUUCUAACGUUGACCCGUGAUCCGGGUUGCGGACAGUGUCUGGUGGGUAGUUUGACUGGGGCGGUCUCCUCCUAAAGAGUAACGGAGGAGCACGAAGGUUGGCUAAUCCUGGUCGGACAUCAGGAGGUUAGUGCAAUGGCAUAAGCCAGCUUGACUGCGAGCGUGACGGCGCGAGCAGGUGCGAAAGCAGGUCAUAGUGAUCCGGUGGUUCUGAAUGGAAGGGCCAUCGCUCAACGGAUAAAAGGUACUCCGGGGAUAACAGGCUGAUACCGCCCAAGAGUUCAUAUCGACGGCGGUGUUUGGCACCUCGAUGUCGGCUCAUCACAUCCUGGGGCUGAAGUAGGUCCCAAGGGUAUGGCUGUUCGCCAUUUAAAGUGGUACGCGAGCUGGGUUUAGAACGUCGUGAGACAGUUCGGUCCCUAUCUGCCGUGGGCGCUGGAGAACUGAGGGGGGCUGCUCCUAGUACGAGAGGACCGGAGUGGACGCAUCACUGGUGUUCGGGUUGUCAUGCCAAUGGCACUGCCCGGUAGCUAAAUGCGGAAGAGAUAAGUGCUGAAAGCAUCUAAGCACGAAACUUGCCCCGAGAUGAGUUCUCCCUGACUCCUUGAGAGUCCUGAAGGAACGUUGAAGACGACGACGUUGAUAGGCCGGGUGUGUAAGCGCAGCGAUGCGUUGAGCUAACCGGUACUAAUGAACCGUGAGGCUUAACCUUACAACGCCGAAGGUGUUU
rnacentral:rRNA from 1 species